UACUCCCUCCGUCCCACCCAAGAUGCAACAUUUUCCUUUUUGGGCCGUCCCAACCAAGAUGCUACAUUCUUUAUUUGGCAAAAACUAACACUAAUUAAAUAUUUUCUUAUUACAUUCUCUCUCCUACUUUAUCACUUUUUUAUUUUAUCUUUCUUACUUUAUCACUAAUUAAAUAUUUUCUUAUUACAUUCUCUCUCCUACUUUAUCACUUUAUUACUUCUUCUCUCCUACUUUAUCACUCCUUAAUAUAUAACUCCUUAAAUCUUGUGCCCAAAAGCAAUGUUGCGUCUUAAGUGGGACGGAGGGAGUA
rnacentral:lncRNA from 1 species